rnacentral:lncRNA from 1 species
CGAAAAAUCCACUAGAAUAAUAUGAGAGAAUACAAAGAUAUCUUAAUUUGAGUACAAACCCAAAUUACUUCACCACAAUAAUCUAUGUGAUGGAACCCAAAUAAAACACUCUUUUAUUUGAACUAUCUUUCUCUCUCUAUUUUCUAACUCUCUUCCAUCCUCUCCUGGAUGGGAUUACUUUCAUCCAUCAUCCCCGGAUGAGAUUUCUUCACCCACCCUUUUCUUUCCUCUCUACUCUCGGAUGAGAGUUAUCUCAAAUUGGUGUAUAUUUCCCUCAUGUCAUGGCUACCUUUUUUAGCCAAAGAAAUAGGAGAAGAGGAGAGUAAUAAUGAGUUGGGCAAACACCAACAGUAAUUGGCAGACAAGGUUGAGUGGGUGGAUGAUGAGUGGGUGGGUGAGAUAGAUGAGUGGGUGAGAUGAUGAGUGGGUGGGUGAGGACCCCUUUUUGACUAACAAUCUCCCCCUCCGAACCCACUAGAGGAUAUGUUCACCAUGACUCCGUCACUUGGAGUCGAUUCCUGUGUCAAAUCCAACUUUUGAAGAAAUCACGACAUUUCAUUGUCAACUCAGUAGUAGACAAAGCAAUACACUUUUACAACUUGGACUGCCAUAACACGGCUCCCCCUGCAAAAGUAAACAAAUACCCCGAAGUAGAUUCCUUCUCUUCGAAACCUGCUAUGUCUGCUUCUGUAUAACCUUCCAAGACUGAAUUUGCACGUCAAACCACAACUCCUCACUUGGAGUUAAUCCCAACAAAGCCUUGACUCAACUCAAGCUUCUUGGAAUUUUCAACUUUCUUCACGUCCGACUUUAUCUCAUCGGCAUGGGUCUUUUUGGUGGAAGGAUCUAAUUCAAACUUGACAGAUUUUUGCUUGUCAAAUUCUUUCACAACCGCUUUGUAUCUUGGCUGCGAGCUAUCAUUUUCCUUCUUCACUUUUGGUACCCAUUUCAAGUGAAGAGCUUUCUUCUCGUGGUUUUCAUGCAAGGCUUUUCUUCCAUCUUGCAUGGCUUUGUACCACAUCCUUUUUCGCCUAACUCCCCCAUCUAUAACACCUUCCACACGCGCCUGCAUUGUGUAAAAAGCGCCUACCUUCUUUCCUCUAGUCACCACUAGAGACCCUUUAGUGAGCUUCCACUGACCUUCACCAAAGGAAAUGCUAUAACCAUUCUCAUCAAGCUUACCAGUAGACAUCAAAUUAAGGCGGAUAUCCGGAACAUGUCUGACUUCUCUAAGCAUCAACAUGCCACCAUUGUUAGUCUUCAGAUAAAUAUCUCCAAUGCCGAUAACCUUGGAUGCACUACCAUUUCCCAUCCGUACAUAGCCAAAAUCACCACUAAUGUAAGAUGUGAAGAUCUCACCACGCGAAGUAGCAUGGAACGCAGCACCUGAAUCAAUAACCCAUUCAUUAACUUGACACUUGGGUUUACCAUCACUAACAAAGGCUACAUCAACGUCGGAUAGAUACACAAUUGAGUCCUUAUCCUCAUCUUUUUCUUUAGACUGUUCCUUCUUUAAAAAUCUGCAUUCUCGCCUUAUAUGACCCGGUCUCUGGCAGUGAAAACAAAUGAUCUCUUUUCCUCUCAACCUUCUCCUGAAUUUGUCAUCUUCAGGAAAGCUCUUCUUUCUGUUUCUGCUGCUGCUCUGCGCAACGAAAACUUGUGUUUGUGUCUCAGAAUUCACACCUUGCUCCUUUCGUCUUGUCUCCUCGUUAUGAAGACUGUCCUUGACCAUCUGCAUAGUCAUUUUUCCUUCUGGAGCUGAAUUACUUAGAGACACCACCAAAGUCUCCCAGCUGUUUGGCAACGAACUGAGAAGCAAAAGAGCCUGAAUCUCAUCAUCAAGAUUCAACUUCAUGGUGGACAGCUGGUUCACCAAACCUUGGAACUCACUCAUAUGCUCCGAUACACUGCUCCCGUCCUUGUACUUUAGAUUCACAAUUUUUCGAAUGACAAAAGUUUUAUUUUGUGCAUUCUUCUUCUCGUACAUAGACUCUAGUGUUGUCCAUAAAUUGUGAGCAUCCGUCUCCUGCGAAAUAUGGUGGAACACACUUUGAUCAAUCCACUGCCGGAUGUGACCAAUAGUCUUCCUAUUCAUUUUAUUCCAAUCAGCCUCAGACUUAUCCGCGGGCUUCUUUCCCUUGAGCUCCAACGGAUCAUACAAAUCCUUGCAAUAAAGGAUAUCCUCCAUUCCGGGCUUCCAGAUCGAAAAAUUUGAAGAGGUCAAUCUAAUCAUGGCUCCAACUGAUUCCUCCAUAAAAUUUAUCAAAACAACCGAGCAAAUAACCUUAGCUCUGAUACCAGUUGUUGGGAAAAAUCACCACCCAAAUACUGUUGUCUUUGAUAAAUUAGACGGAUAAAAAUAUCAGUAUAUGCCAAACAGAAUAAAUCUGCAACUCCACCAAAAUAAUAAUAACCACUGCAGGAAAUAAUAAGUAGCAAAUAUCCAACCACCAGACACCAAGAUUUUUACGUGGAAAACCCUCUAAAACUGAGGUAAAAACCACGGGACGAUCUCCGAAAAAUCCACUAGAAUAAUAUGAGAGAAUACAAAGAUAUCUUAAUUUGAGUACAAACCCAAAUUACUUCACCACAAUAAUCUAUGUGAUGGAACCCAAAUAAAACACUCUUUUAUUUGAACUAUCUUUCUCUCUCUAUUUUCUAACUCUCUUCCAUCCUCUCCUGGAUGGGAUUACUUUCAUCCAUCAUCCCCGGAUGAGAUUUCUUCACCCACCCUUUUCUUUCCUCUCUACUCUCGGAUGAGAGUUAUCUCAAAUUGGUGUAUAUUUCCCUCAUGUCAUGGCUACCUUUUUUAGCCAAAGAAAUAGGAGAAGAGGAGAGUAAUAAUGAGUUGGGCAAACACCAACAGUAAUUGGCAGACAAGGUUGAGUGGGUGGGUGAGAUAGAUGAGUGGGUGAGAUGAUGAGUGGGUGGGUGAGGACCCCUUUUUGACUAACAGAAGAAAGAAAUCAACUUUGGUGUUGUUCUCAUUGAUUAGCUGGUGAAAUGGCUUGAGGACACAAAUGCAAGGAUGACUACAGGAAAGUCAACUACAAAGAUGCCUUAUGGAAGAUUAUAAUUAUCAUGUUAAAGAAGAGAUUCAAGAAGAAAAUAGAAGAUGAAGAUGGGGAAGUCCUUAACUGCAACAAGAGAAUCACCCCCAGACUAUUGAAAGAUUGGAAGAAGAAUCCUGACAAGGCCGAGAGAGCAAGGAAAUCUGAAGGUAGAAGUGAGGGCAUGUCAAGGUUCUUGAAAGCCAAAGGAAAGAGAAGGUAGAUGAAAUCACUGAAGAAAAAUCUAAAGGGUCUGAUACAAAUCUUGAUCAUAGAGCUUUAGUUCCUGUUGAUGACCAAACCUUGAAUAAGAAGAAAAAGGUUGAGAAAAAGACAAUCAUCAAGAAAAAGGUUGAAUAAAAGUCCGAGAAGAAGAAGAUCCAGAAAAUAAGAAAAUCUAAGGAAGUUAGUAAUAAGGAGCAGAAUUCCUCUAAAGCAAAAUGAAAAAAGAAAAUAGAGGAAGUUGUAGAAAAAGAAUCACAAGAAUCUGAUCCAAAUAACAAAGCUCUUGUCAUUUUUGAUGACCAAUCUUUAAAGAAGAAGAAAAUAGUUGAGAAAAAGCCUAUGAAGAAGAAGGAUGAGAACAAAAAGGCAACUUCCAAGAUGCCUAAGAAAAUUAUAUCCAAGUCUGAUGAACAGCCCGUGAAGAAGAAAAAAAAGGUGGAGCAAGAAGACACCAACAAGCCUAUCUACAAACCCAUCAAAAGGAGAGAAAUCAUGAGAAUACGUCUAUAGUGGAAAGGCCCUGCUAGCUCCUAGCCUCCAAAAAUCAUAAAUAUUGAUGAUAAAGAUGAUGAAGAAUCAUCUGAACUCAUGAGAGACAUGAAAGGGAAAAAUAUAAUUUCUUCGUCUGAAGAUGAUGAAUCCUCUAUGAGACCCUAUGUCCAUGUCUAACGCUGGUGAUGAGCUCAUGUUUAAGGAAGAAGAAAUGACUAAGUCAGUACAAAAAGCAUAAAUGAUUGUCAAUGUUUCUACUCCAUAACUUUAAAAUAGCGAUGAAGAUUUGGAUGAAACUGUGACGAAUGAAUUAUUUGAAUGUUGAUUCUGGGGACAGAAUCCUUGUAAGGAGGGAAGGAU